rnacentral:rRNA from 1 species
UACGGGGGGAGCAAGCGUUGUUCGGAAUUACUGGGCGUAAAGGGCUCGUAGGCGGCCAACUAAGUCCGACGUGAAAUCCCCAGGCUUAACCUGGGAACUGCGUCUGAUACUGGAUGGCUUGAAUCCGGGAGAGGGAUGCGGAAUUCCAGGUGUAGCGGUGAAAUGCGUAGAUAUCUGGAGGAACACCGGUGGCGAAGGCGGGUCUCUGGGCAGGUAACUAGACGGCUGAGGAGCGAAAGCGUGGGGAGCGAAACA